AGACAAUAAAGCCUACGUUAUACUGAAUGGCUUCUGUUGAAGAAAAGUUAAAUCUUAUCCAGAAGAUAUUAACAAUUCAAACUGUACAAAAAACUUUAAGAAGAAAGAAAUGUUGCAUCCCUGAAUAUGACUGAUCUUCAUAAAGGAAAGUCAAGACAAAGUCAACUUAAUCAUGAACAAGUUCUUGGCAUCUGCCUGCCCCAGUCAUGCUGGACCUCCCUGCAAAGUCAUGGUCUCAGAAUUCAAGCCCCUGUCAGAAACUCAAUUCUCCAAACUCCUGAUGUCACACAGAGCCACCACCUGUUCCUUCAGUGCAAUCCCUUAACCACUCCUACAGGACACCUCCAUGCAUCUUACCUCCUUCAUGUCCAAGAUCAUAAAGUGCUCGCUCUCCUUUGACUGCUUCCCAUGUGGCUUCAAACCUACCCUCGUUUCACCCCUGGUAAAGGCAGUGGAUCCUCACUCAGUCCAGAACUGCAAGCCAGUCUCCCUCUUCCUUUUUCUGUCAAAAACUUUGGAACAAGCAACCUGUUAUCAACUAUCUGGAUUCCUCGCCCAGAAUGAUUUCCUUGAUAGGUAUCAGUCUGGAUUCAAAGCUGGACAUUCCACCACGAUAGCACUCCUGGCAGUGUCAGAUGCUUUCCAGUUGGCUAGAGUGGCCUCCCUUUCUUCAAUUCUCAUCCUCCUUGACUUGUCUGCAGCAUUUGACACUGUCAA